CGCGAAUGGCUCAUUACAACAGCCUUAGUUUAUUGGAUCUUAGAGUCCUACUUGGAUUACUGUGGUAAUUCUAGAGCUAAUACACGCAAUCAAACCCUAACCUUACGGGCAGGGUGCAUUUAUUAGAACAAAACCAAUCGGCUUCGGUCGUCAUUGGUGAAUCUGAAUAACUACGCUGAUCGCACGGUCUCGCACCGGCGACAUAUCCUUCAAGUGUCUGCCUUAUCAACUUUCGAUGGUAGUUUACAUGACUACCAUGGUUGUAACGGGUGACGGAGAAUAAGGGUUCGACUCCGGAGAGGGAGCCUGAGAAACGGCUACCACUUCCAAGGAAGGCAGCAGGC
rnacentral:rRNA from 1 species